CUUCAAAACCGGCAAUGUCAGCCACGAACAACACCUGCCUUUCAUCUCAACUGCUGCUAAGACCCUCUUCAGACUGGGAAACAGGACACUAGGGGAUCGACUGCCUCAAGUUGCCUAGAUAAAGUGGUGUGGCAGUUGGAAUGGGAAUGUCACCACAGACUCAGAUCUUCGCACACCUAUGUUCCCAGUUGUCCAUGCUGCUUGAGGGAUGCCCUGGAACCUUUGAGAGAGGUCGUGUCCACUGUGAUUACGUGCUGGGCUGCACAGUCUUGAGUUCACGGCACAAACUUUGCUCACAAUCAUCUGGAUGGUACUUACUAAGAACACAGAGCUUCCAUGAAGGGUCUGAAUGAAUUGGCACUCCAAGUUCUACUUUUUGAUUAGAUUAUCCAGGGUUCCACCAUUUCUUACUAGGAAGGCAUGUUUUUCUUCGACUCAGGCAGAGCUGAAAGUGACUUCAAAUGCAAUCGUGGCUCUCUUUAGUGCU